rnacentral:lncRNA from 1 species
GCGUCUCCGGCAGCUGCCACUGCGGAGGCGGCGGCAGCGUCGUCGAUGAACCCGAUUCCGAGGUCGAUCAUCCAGUCGCUGAAGCCGUCGUCGGCCCACCGGGGCUGGCUCUCGGCCUCCCGCUCGCACGCGAAGUCGGGCGACGUGUACGACGGCGCGUGCCCCGAGCUGCUCGACUCGCCCAGCAACCGCGGCAGCGACUCGGCCGAGUCGAAGCAGAUCAUGUCCGUCGUGGGCGCCCGCGCGUGGGAGACGGCCUCCUGCUUUAGCUGCGGCUGUGGCGCCGGCCGAGGCUGGCUCUUCGGGCCGGCCGGCUUCCGGUCCGGGUUGGCCUGCUUCCCCACGGCGCCCUUCUUGUGGUAGAUCCGGCAUAGCACCCAGUCAUCGAACUGCAUAUUGAUCAUAAAAUAAUUAAUUAUUUUAUUUAUCUUUUUUUCCCGCUGUGUGCUAUUUUUUAUGAUAUAAAAUAAUAAUAAUUAUUAUAAUAAUAAUAGAUAGAAACCGGAUCAGGUCCAAGAGGCGUUGCAUUCGGCAAGGGAAGCGUGGGACAUACCCGGAGGCUCUGGUUCUUUUUGCGGGCG